GAUGCAUUUCCUUAAUGGUUUUCCAGGAGACUAUCAAUAUUAAAUAAAUAUCAGUCAUUACAUGUAGAUACAUAUAACGGUUUUAACAUAACAGUUUCUUCCCUCUGCAGGAAAGAAAAGGAAAAUCCAUCAAAGAACGGUGCAUGGGGAAAUCAAAUAUCAAAUGUUUCCUGCUUCCAAGAAGAGAUGUAAUAUUCUGUGAAUGACUGACCCAGCUCUGACCUUGAUCAUGGGAGGCAAAACUCAAGACAGCUGGCCAACACAUGGUGACUUGAACACACUAGAGAACCAAGAACAAAAAAAUACAAAAAAAAUGCACUUCUUGGAAAACUAGAGAAAAGACAGGAAGCCAACAGCAAAUAUCUGUGGAAACCUGUGACUCUGAACAGCUGAGAGACCAGCAGGUUCAAAGACUUUCAGGGAGCCAAUGAAGACAAGGACUGGCAGGUGGGAUGAGCACAAGGCACAAACUGCUGGCUCGGGUAAAGGAUGUUCAACGCUUUUGUGUGGGGAACACGGCAGACACACCCUGAGUGCUUCCAGCAGCCAAAGGCAGCACAUCCCCAACUGGCAAACUCCACUCUCAGACGUGGCAGAAAACAGCUGACUAGAAGGCUGAACAUUAAAUGAAAAAAAAGUAUUUCCCUGAAUAGAAAGGACCCAGGAGAAAAAGAACAUUUUUCAUUUUUUGUACAGGUAUGAAAAGGCUCUACUAACCAGAAAAGCUUUGGUGGUAUCACAAAAUAAAGGUGUGAACCUUACCUCAGCAUGAGAGUAAUUAUGGAUAAGCCAUAAUGUGUUCUCAGCUCCAGUGUGAUGGUGUUUAUAUCUCAGGUGUAGUGUGAGUUUAACUUUAGUGAGUUG